GCUCUUUGACCGCGCGCGUGUGGGCGCUGACCUUGCGGGACUUCUCCAGCAGCUUGCUCACCGUGUUGCUGGUGGAGGCCUGGUACUUGGAGAGCUUGGUGAGGUCAUUCUGGAUGCCCUUCACGGAGCCCUCCAAACUGAUCUGUCGCUGCUCCAUCUUGUGCUGGUUCUCCUGCACAGCGUCUAGCAUGUUCACCAGCUUGUCCAGGAGCGUGAGCACCGUGACUGCGUUCACCUGCAUUGUGGCUCUGGAGACCUGGAAGCACUGCUAACUGUUCUCUCGAUUUUCUGACGCUCGGCCACAUCAACCUGUCAUACUAGUUGUGAGGAGAAGUCAAGGACAGUGACACAGCCAGCCAGUCUGAGGCAUUUUCCAUCAUCCUGAAGGAGUUGCCCUAUCCUGCUUUUCACUGGAGGGGGCAUGGAUGGAUUAAUUCAACUAUUGCGGGAGAUACUAAGGAUGCAUUUCAUUUUUCAUACUGUGGACUUUGUAUUCUGUACUUGAGGAAGGAAGAGAAAAAGGAGGAACAAAUAAAGGAAGAAAAGAAAGAUGGAAGAAAGGAAAGAAGGAAGCAAAGAAGGAAAGAAGGAAGCAAAGAAGGAAAGAAGUAAAAGUGUAAGGAACUACCUCUGUGGUCUCU
rnacentral:lncRNA from 1 species